AGAGUUUGAUCCCGGCUCAGGAUAAACGCUGGCGGUGUGCUUUAUGCAUGCAAGUCGAACGAAUCAUUUCGAUGAUUAGUGGCAGACGGGUGAGUAACACGUAAGUAACCUGCCCUUAAGUGGGGAAUAACUCUGAGAAAUCGGAGCUAAUACCGCAUGUGGUAAUGGAGGUAAUGCUCUAUUACUAAAGCCUUCGGGCGCUUGAGGAGGGGCUUGCGGCCGAUUAGCUAUUUGGUGAGGUAAUGGCCCACCAAGGCUUCUAUCGGUAGCUGGUUUGAGAGGAUGAUCAGCCACACUGGGACUGAGACACGGCCCAGACUCCUACGGGAGGCAGCAGCAAGGAAUAUUGGGCAAUGGGCGAAAGCCUGACCCAGCGACACCGCGUGGAGGAAGAAGGCCUUCGGGUUGUAAACUCCUUUUCCCGGGGAAGAAUAAUGACGGUACCCGGGGAAUAAGUCUCGGCUAACUACGUGCCAGCAGCCGCGGUAAUGCGUAGGAGGCGAGCGUUAUCCGGAUUUACUAGGCGUAAAGGGGGCGUAGGCGGCAUGUCAAGUCGGAUGUGAAAUCUCCUGGCUAAACUGGGAGGGUGCAUUCGAUACUGGCAGGCUAGAGUGCAGCAGAGGAAAGCGGAAUUCCCGGUGUAGUGGUGAAAUGCGUAGAUAUCGGGAAGAACACUAGUGGCGAAGGCGGCUUUCUGGGCUGUUACUGACGCUGAGGCCCGAAGGCGUGGGUAGCAAACAGGAUUAGAUACCCUGGUAGUCCACGCAGUAAACGAUGGAUACUAGGUAUGGGGGGUAUCGACCCCCUCCGUGCCGAAGCUAACGCUUUAAGUAUCCCGCCUGGGGACUACGGUCGCAAGACUAAAACUCAAAGGAAUUGACGGGGGCCCGCACAAGCAGCGGAGCGUGUGGUUUAAUUCGAUUCAACGCGAAGAACCUUACCAGGGCUUGACAUGUUGGAAGUAGUGAACCGAAAGGGGAACGACCUGUUAAGUCAGGAGCCAGCACAGGUGCUGCAUGGCUGUCGUCAGCUCGUACCGUGAGGUGUCGGGUUAAGUCCCAUAACGAGCGCAACCCUUGUUGCCAGUUAAUUUCUCUGGCGAGACUGCCCCGCAAAACGGGGAGGAAGGCGGGGAUGAUGUCAAGUCAGUAUGGCCCUUAUGCCCUGGGCUACACACACGCUACAAUGGGUGGUACAAUGGGUCGCAAUGGAGCAAUCCGGAGCUAAUCCUUUAAAACCAUCCUCAGUUCGGAUUGCAGGCUGAAAUUCGCCUGCAUGAAGUUGGAGUUGCUAGUAACCGCAAAUCAGCACGUUGCGGUGAAUACGUUCUCGGGCCUUGUACACACCGCCCGUCACGUCAUGAAAGUCGGCAACAUCUGAAGUCGAUGAGCCAACCCUUUUGGGAGGCAGUUGCCUAGGGUGAGGUCGGUGAUUGGGACGAAGUCGUAACAAGGUA
rnacentral:rRNA from 1 species